rnacentral:lncRNA from 1 species
AAUUCUAAUGCAACAACGUUUGUAACGUUCAUUUUCAUUGGAUUACGUCACUUUUGUACGUGGCAUCAAUUGCCAAUUGAUGCUAUGGGACGUACACGCAAGCGCAGAAGGCAUAUGCCAGAUUUUAAUUACAUAUUUUAACGUUGUUUUCUGUCAGUUUCAUUAGAAUGGAGAUAACAAUAUUGUAUUUUAAGCUCCGAC